UACGUAGGGGGCUAGCGUUGUCCGGAAUGAUUGGGCGUAAAGAGCGUGUAGGCGGUUCGGCAAGUCCGCUGUGAAAGUCGGGGGCUCAACCCUCGAAUGCCGGUGGAUACUGUCGGGCUAGAGUGCGGAAGAGGCGAGUGGAAUUCCUGGUGUAGCGGUGAAAUGCGCAGAUAUCAGGAGGAACACCUAUUGCGAAGGCAGCUCGCUGGGACGUAACUGACGCUGAGACGCGAAAGCGUGGGGAGCAAACAGG
rnacentral:rRNA from 1 species